GUCGGGGUAGCUCAGUUGGUGAGAGCGUAGCAUUCAUAACGCUAAGGUCGUGGGUUCGACUCCCACCCUCGACACCC
rnacentral:tRNA from 1 species